CCAAAUAAAAUGUUCAUACCCAAAUUAUGUAAAAACAUCUAUCACAUGCACCUUCAUCAUUAGCCUCAUCCCUACAACCAUGUUUAUAUGCACAGACCAAGAAGUCAUUAUCUCAAACUGACAUUGAGUAACAACACAAACUCUCAAACUCUCACUAAGCUUCAAACCAGACUACUUCUCCACAAUAUUUAUCCCAGUAGCACUAUUUGUUACCUGAUCUAUUGUAGAAUUCUUAAUAUGGUAUAUACAUUCAGACCCCGACAUUAUCCAAUUUUUCAAAUACUUAUUUAUUUUCCCCAUCACAAUAUUAGUUCUGGUUACUGCCAACAACCCCUUUUAACUCUUUAUCUGAUGAGAAGGCAUAGGAAUCAUGUCUUUCUUACUAAUAAUCUGAUGGUACCGCCAAGCAGUUGCUAAUACAGCAGCCCUCCAACAGUUCUGUACAACUGCAUCAGUGAUACUGGCUUUAUUUUAGCUAUUGCAUGAUUCUUCCUGUCCUCUAAUACAUGAGGAUUUCAACAAAUAUUUAUUCUAGACCCUACUCCCAACUCCCUUCCAUUAAUUAGCCUUCUAUUAGCAGUAGUGGGAAAGUCAGCUCAAUUCGGCCUCCAUCCCUGACUUCCAUGCGCCAUAGAAGGUCAAACCCCAACCUCAGCCCUACUCCACUCCAGCACUAUAGUUGUAGCAGGAGUAUUCCUGCUCAUCCGCUUCCACCCUUUAAUAGAAAAUAACCUAUCAAUGCAAACCUUUACAUUGUGUCUGGGAGCUAUACUACUUUAUUCACAGCGAUCUGUGCUCUAACACAAAAUGAUCUCAAAAAAAUUGUAGCAUUCUCCGCCUCAAGCCAGCUGGGCCUUAUAAUAGUCACAAUUGGCAUUAAUCAGCCACACCUAGCAUUCCUUCACAUCUGUAUUCAUGCCUUUUUUAAAGCUAUGUUAUUUAUAUGUUCAGAGUCCAUCAUCCAUAGCCUCAAUGAUGAACAACAUCUGAAAAAUAGGAGGGCUAUUCAAGAUUUUAACCCUCACUUCCUCCUUCCGUAUUAUUGGCAGCCUUGCACUUACAGGUAUGCCUUUCCUUACAGGCUUGUACUCUAAACAUCUUAUCGAAACUGCAAACACGUCAUACACUAAUGCCUGAGCCCUUUCUAUUACUCCUAUCGCCACCUCCUUGACAGCUGUCUACAUUACUAUAUUAUCUUCUUGGCUCUAAUAAGACAACCUCGCUUCAUGACUCUGAUUAUUGUUAACAAAAAUAAUCCUCUCCUAAUUAACUCAAUUAAGGGCCUAACAAUUGGCAGCAUCUUCGCCGGAUUCCUUAUCACCAACAGUAUUAUUCCUGUUUUAUCACCCCAAAUAACAAUACCACUCCACCUGAAGCUCACAGCCCUAGGUGUGACCUCCUUAGGCUUCUUGCCAGCAAUAGAAAUUGAUCUCAUAACUAAUAACCUUAAACUAAAAUAUCCAUUACAGACAUUCAACUUCUCCAAUAUACUAGGAUUUUAUUCAACCACAAUUCACCGUACAACCUUCCACUCAAGCCUAUUCACAAGCCAAAACCUGGCCUCACUUCUAACAGAGCUAAUUUGACUAGAAAAGUCUAUACCAAAGACCGUUUCACAAACCCAAAUUUCACCCUCUAUUACUGUAUCUACUCAGAAAGGUCUAAUUAUACUCUAAUUUCUUUCUUUUUUUAUCCCAUGUCUUCUAACCCUACUCUUAAU
rnacentral:lncRNA from 1 species